rnacentral:rRNA from 1 species
ACGCUCGACACCUACGGGAGGCAGCAGUGGGGAAUAUUGCACAAUGGGGGAAACCCUGAUGCAGCGAUGCCGCGUGAAGGAAGAAGUAUCUCGGUAUGUAAACUUCUAUCAGCAGGGAANAAAAUGACGGUACCUGACUAAGAAGCCCCGGCUAACUACGUGCCAACAGCCGCGGUAAUCUGAGCGGGCUGGCAAGGC